CUCCUUUUGGGACCAAUGUUGACUUUCUGCAGCAUACUUUUGAACUUUUUGUUCUCCUUUAGUUUUAUCAAUUUAGGGCGCUCAUCCAUUUCAAUUCUCCUCGUUUCCUCAAUUUUAUUUGCCAAUUCUUCUUCCAACUCUAGCUGCUCUGGGU